CAUAGCUCCUUCGACGGCGCCGCCUAGGAACGCGGAGAAAAUAUGACAAAGGAACGGCCAAAAAUAAAAAGAAAGACCUUUCUUUUGAAAAAACAAACAAAAAAAAGAAAUGCAACACGAGGACUUCCCAGGAGGUCACCCAUCCUAGUACUACUCUCGCCCAAGCACGCUUAACUUCGGAGUUCUGAUGGGAUCCGGUGCUUUAGUGCUGGUAUGAUCGCAUCCGACAUACCGUGCGUUCUCCUCCCCUUUAUGCCCGCGCCUCCGUGUACGGCCCGCCCAUAGCUCCUUCGACGGCGCCGCCUAGGAACGCGGAGAAAAUAUGACAAAGGAACGGCCAAAAAUAAAAAGAAAGACCUUUCUUUGAAAAAACAAACAAUUCACAGGAAUGCAACACGAGGACUUCCCACGAGGUCACCCAUCCUAGUACUACUCUCGCCCAAGCACGCUUAACUUCGGAGUUCUGAUGGGAUCCGGUGCUUUAGUGCUGGUAUGAUCGCAUCCGACAUACCGUGCGUUCUCCUCCCCUUUAUGCCCGCGCCUCCGUGUACGGCCCGCCCAUAGCUCCUUCGACGGCGCCGCCUAGGAACGCGGAGAAAAUAUGACAAAGGAACGGCCAAAAAUAAAAAGAAAGACCUUUCUUUUGAAAAAACAAACCAAAAAAAAGGAAUGCAACACGAGGACUUCCCAAGAGGUCACCCAUCCUAGUACUACUCUCGCCCAAGCACGCUUAACUUCGGAGUUCUGAUGGGAUCCGGUGCUUUAGUGCUGGUAUGAUCGCAUCCGACAUACCGUGCGUUCUCCUCCCCAUUAUGCCCGCGCCUCCGUGUACGGCCCGCCCAUAGCUCCUUUGACGGCGCCGCUUAGGAACGCGGAGAAAAUAUGACAAAGGAACGGCCAAAAAUAAAAAGAAAGACCUUUCUUUUGAAAAAACAAACAAAUAAAAGGAAUGCAACACGAGGACUUCCCAGGAGGUCACCCAUCCUAGUACUACUCUCGCCCAAGCACGCUUAACUUCGGAGUUCUGAUGGGAUCCGGUGCUUUAGUGCUGGUAUGAUCGCAUCCGACAUACCGUGCGUUCUCCUCCCCUUUAUGCCCGCGCCUCCGUGUACGGCCCGCCCAUAGCUCCUUCGACGGCGCCGCCUAGGAACGCGGAGAAAAUAUGACAAAGGAACGGCCAAAAACAAAAAGAAAGACCUUUCUUUUGAAAAAACAAACAAAAAAAAGGAAUGCAACACGAGGACUUCCCAGGAGGUCACCCAUCCUAGUACUACUCUCGCCCAAGCACGCUUAACUUCGGAGUUCUGAUGGGAUCCGGUGCUUUAGUGCUGGUAUGAUCGCAUCCGACAUACCGUGCGUUCUCCUCCCCUUUAUGCCCGCGCCUCCGUGUACGGCCCGCCCAUAGCUCCUUCGACGGCGCCGCCUAGGAACGCGGAGAAAAUAUGACAAAGGAACGGCCAAAAAUAAAAAGAAAGACCUUUCUUUUGAAAAAACAAACAAAUAAAAGGAAUGCAACACGAGGACUUCCCAGGAGGUCACCCAUCCUAGUACUACUCUCGCCCAAGCACGCUUAACUUCGGAGUUCUGAUGGGAUCCGGUGCUUUAGUGCUGGUAUGAUCGCAUCCGACAUACCGUGCGUUCUCCUCCCCUUUAUGCCCGCGCCUCCGUGUACGGCCCGCCCAUAGCUCCUUCGACGGCGCCGCCUAGGAACGCGGAGAAAAUAUGACAAAGGAACGGCCAAAAAUAAAAAGAAAGACCUUUCUUUUGAAAAAACAAACAAAUAAAAGGAAUGCAACACGAGGACUUCCCAGGAGAUCACCCAUCCUAGUACUACUCUCGCCCAAGCACGCUUAACUUCGGAGUUCUGAUGGGAUCCGGUGCUUUAGUGCUGGUAUGAUCGCAUCCGACAUACCGUGCGUUCUCCUCCCCUUUAUGCCCGCGCCUCCGUGUACGGCCCGCCCAUAGCUCCUUCGACGGCGCCGCCUAGGAACGCGGAGAAAAUAUGACAAAGGAACGGCCAAAAAUAAAAAGAAAGACCUUUCUUUUGAAAAAACAAACAAAAAAAAGGAAUGCAACACGAGGACUUCCCACGAGGUCACCCAUCCUAGUACUACUCUAGUACCAAGCACGCUUAACUUCGGAGUUCUGAUGGGAUCCGGUGCUUUAGUGCUGGUAUGAUCGCAUCCGACAUACCGUGCGUUCUCCUCCCCUUUAUGCCCGCGCCUCCGUGUACGGCCCGCCCAUAGCUCCUUCGACGGCGCCGCCUAGGAACGCGGAGAAAAUAUGACAAAGGAACGGCCAAAAAUAAAAAGAAAGACCUUUCUUUUGAAAAAACAAACAAAAAAAAGGAAUGCAACACGAGGACUUCCCAGGAGGUCACCCAUCCUAGUACUACUCUCGCCCAAGCACGCUUAACUUCGGAGUUCUGAUGGGAUCCGGUGCUUUAGUGCUGGUAUGAUCGCAUCCGACAUACCGUGCGUUCUCCUCCCCUUUAUGCCCGCGCCUCCGUGUACGGCCCGCCCAUAGCUCCUUCGACGGCGCCGCCUAGGAACGCGGAGAAAAUAUGACAAAGGAACGGCCAAAAAUAAAAAGAAAGACCUUUCUUUUGAAAAAACAAACAAAUAAAAGGAAUGCAACACGAGGACUUCCCAGGAGGUCACCCAUCCUAGUACUACUCUCGCCCAAGCACGCUUAACUUCGGAGUUCUGAUGGGAUCCGGUGCUUUAGUGCUGGUAUGAUCGCAUCCGACAUACCGUGCGUUCUCCUCCCCUUUAUGCCCGCGCCUCCGUGUACGGCCCGCCCAUAGCUCCUUCGACGGCGCCGCCUAGGAACGCGGAGAAAAUAUGACAAAGGAACGGCCAAAAAUAAAAAGAAAGACCUUUCUUUUGAAAAAACAAACAAAAAAAAGGAAUGCAACACGAGGACUUCCCAGGAGGUCACCCAUCCUAGUACUACUCUCGCCCAAGCACGCUUAACUUCGGAGUUCUGAUGGGAUCCGGUGCUUUAGUGCUGGUAUGAUCGCAUCCGACAUACCGUGCGUUCUCCUCCCCUUUAUGCCCGCGCCUCCGUGUACGGCCCGCCCAUAGCUCCUUCGACGGCGCCGCCUAGGAACGCGGAGAAAAUAUGACAAAGGAACGGCCAAAAAUAAAAAGAAAGACCUUUCUUUUGAAAAAACAAACAAAAAAAAGGAAUGCAACACGAGGACUUCCCAGGAGGUCACCCAUCCUAGUACUACUCUCGCCCAAGCACGCUUAACUUCGGAGUUCUGAUGGGAUCCGGUGCUUUAGUGCUGGUAUGAUCGCAUCCGACAUACCGUGCGUUCUCCUCCCCUUUAUGCCCGCGCCUCCGUGUACGGCCCGCCCAUAGCUCCUUCGACGGCGCCGCCUAGGAACGCGGAGAAAAUAUGACAAAGGAACGGCCAAAAAUAAAAAGAAAGACCUUUCUUUUGAAAAAACAAACAAAUAAAAGGAAUGCAACACAAGGACUUCCCAGGAGGUCACCCAUCCUAGUACUACUCUCGCCCAAGCACGCUUAACUUCGGAGUUCUGAUGGGAUCCGGUGCUUUAGUGCUGGUAUGAUCGCAUCCGACAUACCGUGCGUUCUCCUCCCCUUUAUGCCCGCGCCUCCGUGUACGGCCCGCCCAUAGCUCCUUCGACGGCGCCGCCUAGGAACGCGGAGAAAAUAUGACAAAGGAACGGCCAAAAAUAAAAAGAAAGACCUUUCUUUUGAAAAAACAAACGCCUCCGUGUACGGCCCGCCCAUAGCUCCUUCGACGGCGCCGCCUAGGAACGCGGAGAAAAUAUGACAAAGGAACGGCCAAAAAUAAAAAGAAAGACCUUUCUUUUGAAAAAACAAACAAAAAAAAGGAAUGCAACACGAGGACUUCCCAGGAGGUCACCCAUCCUAGUACUACUCUCGCCCAAGCACGCUUAACUUCGGAGUUCUGAUGGGAUCCGGUGCUUUAGUGCUGGUAUGAUCGCAUCCGACAUACCGUGCGUUCUCCUCCCCUUUAUGCCCGCGCCUCCGUGUACGGCCCGCCCAUAGCUCCUUCGACGGCGCCGCCUAGGAACGCGGAGAAAAUAUGACAAAGGAACGGCCAAAAAUAAAAAGAAAGACCUUUCUUUUGAAAAAACAAACGCCUCCGUGUACGGCCCGCCCAUAGCUCCUUCGACGGCGCCGCCUAGGAACGCGGAGAAAAUAUGACAAAGGAACGGCCAAAAAUAAAAAGAAAGACCUUUCUUUUGAAAAAACAAACAAAAAAAAGGAAUGCAACACGAGGACUUCCCAGGAGGUCACCCAUCCUAGUACUACUCUCGCCCAAGCACGCUUAACUUCGGAGUUCUGAUGGGAUCCGGUGCUUUAGUGCUGGUAUGAUCGCAUCCGACAUACCGUGCGUUCUCCUCCCCUUUAUGCCCGCGCCUCCGUGUACGGCCCGCCCAUAGCUCCUUCGACGGCGCCGCCUAGGAACGCGGAGAAAAUAUGACAAAGGAACGGCCAAAAAUAAAAAGAAAGACCUUUCUUUUGAAAAAACAAACAAAUAAAAGGAAUGCAACACGAGGACUUCCCAGGAGGUCACCCAUCCUAGUACUACUCUCGCCCAAGCACGCUUAACUUCGGAGUUCUGAUGGGAUCCGGUGCUUUAGUGCUGGUAUGAUCGCAUCCGACAUACCGUGCGUUCUCCUCCCCUUUAUGCCCGCGCCUCCGUGUACGGCCCGCCCAUAGCUCCUUCGACGGCGCCGCCUAGGAACGCGGAGAAAAUAUGACAAAGGAACGGCCAAAAAUAAAAAGAAAGACCUUUCUUUUGAAAAAACAAACAAAAAAAAAGGAAUGCAACACGAGGACUUCCCAGGAGGUCACCCAUCCUAGUACUACUCUCGCCCAAGCACGCUUAACUUCGGAGUUCUGAUGGGAUCCGGUGCUUUAGUGCUGGUAUGAUCGCAUCCGACAUACCGUGCGUUCUCCUCCCCUUUAUGCCCGCGCCUCCGUGUACGGCCCGCCCAUAGCUCCUUCGACGGCGCCGCCUAGGAACGCGGAGAAAAUAUGACAAAGGAACGGCCAAAAAUAAAAAGAAAGACCUUUCUUUUGAAAAAACAAACAAAAAAAAGGAAUGCAACACGAGGACUUCCCAGGAGGUCACCCAUCCUAGUACUACUCUCGCCCAAGCACGCUUAACUUCGGAGUUCUGAUGGGAUCCGGUGCUUUAGUGCUGGUAUGAUCGCAUCCGACAUACCGUGCGUUCUCCUCCCCUUUAUGCCCGCGCCUCCGUGUACGGCCCGCCCAUAGCUCCUUCGACGGCGCCGCCUAGGAACGCGGAGAAAAUAUGACAAAGGAACGGCCAAAAAUAAAAAGAAAGACCUUUCUUUUGAAAAAACAAACAAAAAAAAGGAAUGCAACACGAGGACUUCCCAGGAGGUCACCCAUCCUAGUACUACUCUCGCCCAAGCACGCUUAACUUCGGAGUUCUGAUGGGAUCCGGUGCUCUAGUGCUGGUAUGAUCGCAUCCGACAUACCGUGCGUUCUCCUCCCCUUUAUGCCCGCGCCUCCGUGUACGGCCCGCCCAUAGCUCCUUCGACGGCGCCGCCUAGGAACGCGGAGAAAAUAUGACAAAGGAACGGCCAAAAAUAAAAAGAAAGACCUUUCUUUUGAAAAAACAAACAAAAAAAAAGGAAUGCAACACGAGGACUUCCCAGGAGGUCACCCAUCCUAGUACUACUCUCGCCCAAGCACGCUUAACUUCGGAGUUCUGAUGGGAUCCGGUGCUUUAGUGCUGGUAUGAUCGCAUCCGACAUACCGUGCGUUCUCCUCCCCUUUAUGCCCGCGCCUCCGUGUACGGCCCGCCCAUAGCUCCUUCGACGGCGCCGCCUAGGAACGCGGAGAAAAUAUGACAAAGGAACGGCCAAAAAUAAAAAGAAAGACCUUUCUUUUGAAAAAACAAACAAAUAAAAGGAAUGCAACACGAGGACUUCCUAGGAGGUCACCCAUCCUAGUACUACUCUCGCCCAAGCACGCUUAACUUCGGAGUUCUAAUGGGAUCCGGUGCUUUAGUGCUGGUAUGAUCGCAUCCGACAUACCGUGCGUUCUCCUCCCCUUUAUGCCCGCGCCUCCGUGUACGGCCCGCCCAUAGCUCCUUCGACGGCGCCGCCUAGGAACGCGGAGAAAAUAUGACAAAGGAACGGCCAAAAAUAAAAAGAAAGACCUUUCUUUUGAAAAAACAAACAAAAAAAAGGAAUGCAACACGAGGACUUCCCAGGAGGUCACCCAUCCUAGUACUACUCUCGCCCAAGCACGCUUAACUUCGGAGUUCUGAUGGGAUCCGGUGCUUUAGUGCUGGUAUGAUCGCAUCCGACAUACCGUGCGUUCUCCUCCCCUUUAUGCCCGCGCCUCCGUGUACGGCCCGCCCAUAGCUCCUUCGACGGCGCCGCCUAGGAACGCGGAGAAAAUAUGACAAAGGAACGGCCAAAAAUAAAAAGAAAGACCUUUCUUUUGAAAAAACAAACAAAAAAAAGGAAUGCAACACGAGGACUUCCCAGGAGGUCACCCAUCCUAGUACUACUCUCGCCCAAGCACGCUUAACUUCGGAGUUCUGAUGGGAUCCGGUGCUUUAGUGCUGGUAUGAUCGCAUCCGACAUACCGUGCGUUCUCCUCCCCUUUAUGCCCGCGCCUCCGUGUACGGCCCGCCCAUAGCUCCUUCGACGGCGCCGCCUAGGAACGCGGAGAAAAUAUGACAAAGGAACGGCCAAAAAUAAAAAGAAAGACCUUUCUUUUGAAAAAACAAACAAAAAAAAGGAAUGCAACACGAGGACUUCCCAGGAGGUCACCCAUCCUAGUACUACUCUCGCCCAAGCACGCUUAACUUCGGAGUUCUGAUGGGAUCCGGUGCUUUAGUGCUGGUAUGAUCGAAUCCGACAUACCGUGCGUUCUCCUCCCCUUUAUGCCCGCGCCUCCGUGUACGGUCCGCCCAUAGCUCCUUCGACGGCGCCGCCUAGGAACGCGGAGAAAAUAUGACAAAGGAACGGCCAAAAAUAAAAAGAAAGACCUUUCUUUUGAAAAAACAAACAAAUAAAAGGAAUGCAACACGAGGACUUCCCAGGAGGUCACCCAUCCUAGUACUACUCUCGCCCAAGCACGCUUAACUUCGGAGUUCUGAUGGGAUCCGGUGCUUUAGUGCUGGUAUGAUCGCAUCCGACAUACCGUGCGUUCUCCUCCCCUUUAUGCCCGCGCCUCCGUGUACGGCCCGCCCAUAGCUCCUUCGACGGCGCCGCCUAGGAACGCGGAGAAAAUAUGACAAAGGAACGGCCAAAAAUAAAAAGAAAGACCUUUCUUUUGAAAAAACAAACAAAUAAAAGGAAUGCAACACGAGGACUUCCCAGGAGGUCACCCAUCCUAGUACUACUCUCGCCCAAGCACGCUUAACUUCGGAGUUCUGAUGGGAUCCGGUGCUUUAGUGCUGGUAUGAUCGCAUCCGACAUACCGUGCGUUCUCCUCCCCUUUAUGCCCGCGCCUCCGUGUACGGCCCGCCCAUAGCUCCUUCGACGGCGCCGCCUAGGAACGCGGAGAAAAUAUGACAAAGGAACGGCCAAAAAUAAAAAGAAAGACCUUUCUUUUGAAAAAACAAACAAAAAAAAGGAAUGCAGCACCAGGACUUCCCGGAAGGUCACCCAUCCAAAUACAACUCUCGCCGAACCACGUUUAACUUCGAAUUUCUAAUGGAAUCCGGGGCUUUAGAGCUGGAAUGAUCGCAUCCGACAUACCGUGCGUUCUCCUCCCCUUUAUGCCCGCGCCUCCGUGUACGGCCCGCCCAUAGCUCCUUCGACGGCGCCGCCUAGGAACGCGGAGAAAAUAUGACAAAGGAGCGGCCAAAAAUAAAAAGAAAGACCUUUCUUUUGAAAAAACAAACAAAUAAAAGGAAUGCAACACGAGGACUUCCUAGGAGGUCACCCAUCCUAGUACUACUCUCGCCCAAGCACGCUUAACUUCGGAGUUCUGAUGGGAUCCGGUGCUUUAGUGCUGGUAUGAUCGCAUCCGACAUACCGUGCGUUCUCCUCCCCUUUAUGCCCGCGCCUCCGUGUACGGCCCGCCCAUAGCUCCUUCGACGGCGCCGCCUAGGAACGCGGAGAAAAUAUGACAAAGGAACGGCCAAAAAUAAAAAGAAAGACCUUUCUUUUGAAAAAACAAACGCCUCCGUGUACGGCCCGCCCAUAGCUCCUUCGACGGCGCCGCCUAGGAACGCGGAGAAAAUAUGACAAAGGAACGGCCAAAAAUAAAAAGAAAGACCUUUCUUUUGAAAAAACAAACAAAAAAAAGGAAUGCAACACGAGGACUUCCCAGGAGGUCACCCAUCCUAGUACUACUCUCGCCCAAGCACGCUUAACUUCGGAGUUCUGAUGGGAUCCGGUGCUUUAGUGCUGGUAUGAUCGCAUCCGACAUACCGUGCGUUCUCCUCCCCUUUAUGCCCGCGCCUCCGUGUACGGCCCGCCCAUAGCUCCUUCGACGGCGCCGCCUAGGAACGCGGAGAAAAUAUGACAAAGGAACGGCCAAAAAUAAAAAGAAAGACCUUUCUUUUGAAAAAACAAACAAAUAAAAGGAAUGCAACACGAGGACUUCCCAGGAGGUCACCCAUCCUAGUACUACUCUCGCCCAAGCACGCUUAACUUCGGAGUUCUGAUGGGAUCCGGUGCUUUAGUGCUGGUAUGAUCGCAUUCGACAUACCGAUGCGUUCUCAUCCCCGUUAUGCGCCGCGCCUCUGUGUACGGCCCGCCCAUAGCUCCUUUGACUGCGCCUCGUAGGAUCGCGGAGAAUAUAUGACAAAGGCACGGCCAAACAUAAAACGAAAGACCUCUCUUUUGCAACAACAAACAAAAUAAAGGAAUGCAACACGAGGACUUCCCAGGAGGUCACCCAUCCUAGUACUAGUCUCGCUCAAGCACGCUGAUCUUCGGAGUUCUGAUGGGAUCCGGUGCUUUAGUGCUGGUAUGAUCGCAUCCGACAUACCGUGCGUUCUCCUCCCCUUUAUGCCCGCGCCUCCGUGUACGGCCCGCCCAUAGCUCCUUCGACGGCGCCGCCUAGGAACGCGGAGAAAAUAUGACAAAGGAACGGCCAAAAAUAAAAAGAAAGACCUUUCUUUUGAAAAAACAAACAAAAAAAAGGAAUGCAACACGAGGACUUCCCAGGAGGUCACCCAUCCUAGUACUACUCUCGCCCAAGCACGCUUAACUUCGGAGUUCUGAUGGGAUCCGGUGCUUUAGUGCUGGUAUGAUCGCAUCCGACAUACCGUGCGUUCUCCUCCCCUUUAUGCCCGCGCCUCCGUGUACGGCCCGCCCAUAGCUCCUUCGACGGCGCCGCCUAGGAACGCGGAGAAAAUAUGACAAAGGAACGGCCAAAAAUAAAAAGAAAGACCUUUCUUUUGAAAAAACAAACAAAUAAAAGGAAUGCAACACGAGGACUUCCCAGGAGGUCACCCAUCCUAGUACUACUCUCGCCCAAGCACGCUUAACUUCGGAGUUCUGAUGGGAUCCGGUGCUUUAGUGCUGGUAUGAUCGCAUCCGACAUACCGUGCGUUCUCCUCCCCUUUAUGCCCGCGCCUCCGUGUACGGCCCGCCCAUAGCUCCUUCGACGAGCCCGCCUAGGAACGCGGAGAAAAUAUGACAAAGGAACGGCCAAAAAUAAAAAGAAAGACCUUUCUUUUGAAAAAACAAACAAAUAAAAGGAAUGCAACACGAGGACUUCCCAGGAGGUCACCCAUCCUAGUACUACUCUCGCCCAAGCACGCUUAACUUCGGAGUUCUGAUGGGAUCCGGUGCUUUAGUGCUGGUAUGAUCGCAUCCGACAUACCGUGCGUUCUCCUCCCCUUUAUGCCCGCGCCUCCGUGUACGGCCCGCCCAUAGCUCCUUCGACGGCGCCGCCUAGGAACGCGGAGAAAAUAUGACAAAGGAACGGCCAAAAAUAAAAAGAAAGACCUUUCUUUUGAAAAAACAAACAAAAAAAAGGAAUGCAACACGAGGACUUCCCAGGAGGUCACCCAUCCUAGUACUACUCUCGCCCAAGCACGCUUAACUUCGGAGUUCUGAUGGGAUCCGGUGCUUUAGUGCUGGUAUGAUCGCAUCCGACAUACCGUGCGUUCUCCUCCCCUUUAUGCCCGCGCCUCCGUGUACGGCCCGCCCAUAGCUCCUUCGACGGCGCCGCCUAGGAACGCGGAGAAAAUAUGACAAAGGAACGGCCAAAAAUAAAAAGAAAGACCUUUCUUUUGAAAAAACAAACAAAUAAAAGGAAUGCAACACGAGGACUUCCCAGGAGGUCACCCAUCCUAGUACUACUCUCGCCCAAGCACGCUUAACUUCGGAGUUCUGAUGGGAUCCGGUGCUUUAGUGCUGGUAUGAUCGCAUCCGACAUACCGUGCGUUCUCCUCCCCUUUAUGCCCGCGCCUCCGUGUACGGCCCGCCCAUAGCUCCUUCGACGGCGCCGCCUAGGAACGCGGAGAAAAUAUGACAAAGGAACGGCCAAAAAUAAAAAGAAAGACCUUUCUUUUGAAAAAACAAACAAAUAAAAGGAAUGCAACACGAGGACUUCCCAGGAGGUCACCCAUCCUAGUACUACUCUCGCCCAAGCACGCUUAACUUCGGAGUUCUGAUGGGAUCCGGUGCUUUAGUGCUGGUAUGAUCGCAUCCGACAUACCGUGCGUUCUCCUCCCCUUUAUGCCCGCGCCUCCGUGUACGGUCCGCCCAUAGCUCUUUAGUUGGCGCCUCCUAGGAACGCGGAGAAAAUAUGACAAAGGAACGGCCAAAAAUAAAAAGAAAGACCUUUCUUUUGAAAAAACAAACGCCUCCGUGUACGGCCCGCCCAUAGCUCCUUCGACGGCGCCGCCUAGGAACGCGGAGAAAAUAUGACAAAGGAACGGCCAAAAAUAAAAAGAAAGACCUUUCUUUUGAAAAAACAAACAAAAAAAAGGAAUGCAACACGAGGACUUCCCAGGAGGUCACCCAUCCUAGUACUACUCUCGCCCAAGCACGCUUAACUUCGGAGUUCUGAUGGGAUCCGGUGCUUUAGUGCUGGUAUGAUCGCAUCCGACAUACCGUGCGUUCUCCUCCCCUUUAUGCCCGCGCCUCCGUGUACGGCCCGCCCAUAGCUCCUUCGACGGCGCCGCCUAGGAACGCGGAGAAAAUAUGACAAAGGAACGGCCAAAAAUAAAAAGAAAGACCUUUCUUUUGAAAAAACAAACAAAUAAAAGGAAUGCAACACGAGGAGUUCCCAGGAGGUCACCCAUCCUAGUACUACUCUCGCCCAAGCACGCUUAACUUCGGAGUUCUGAUGGGAUCCGGUGCUUUAGUGCUGGUAUGAUCGCAUCCGACAUACCGUGCGUUCUCCUCCCCUUUAUGCCCGCGCCUCCGUGUACGGCCCGCCCAUAGCUCCUUCGAUGGCGCCGCCUAGGAACGCGGAGAAAAUAUGACAAAGGAACGGCCAAAAAUAAAAAGAAAGACCUUUCUUUUGAAAAAACAAACGCCUCCGUGUACGGCCCGCCCAUAGCUCCUUCGACGGCGCCGCCUAGGAACGCGGAGAAAAUAUGACAAAGGAACGGCCAAAAAUAAAAAGAAAGACCUUUCUUUUGAAAAAACAAACAAAAAAAAGGAAUGCAACACGAGGACUUCCCAGGAGGUCACCCAUCCUAGUACUACUCUCGCCCAAGCACGCUUAACUUCGGAGUUCGGAUGGGAUCCGGUGCUUUAGUGCUGGUAUGAUCGCAUCCGACAUACCGUGCGUUCUCCUCCCCUUUAUGCCCGCGCCUCCGUGUACGGCCCGCCCAUAGCUCCUUCGACGGCGCCGCCUAGGAACGCGGAGAAAAUAUGACAAAGGAACGGCCAAAAAUAAAAAGAAAGACCUUUCUUUUGAAAAAACAAACAAAUAAAAGGAAUGCAACACGAGGACUUCCCAGGAGGUCACCCAUCCUAGUACUACUCUCGCCCAAGCACGCUUAACUUCGGAGUUCUGAUGGGAUCCGGUGCUUUAGUGCUGGUAUGAUCGCAUCCGACAUACCGUGCGUUCUCCUCCCCUUUAUGCCCGCGCCUCCGUGUACGGCCCGCCCAUAGCUCCUUCGACGGCGCCGCCUAGGAACGCGGAGAAAAUAUGACAAAGGAACGGCCAAAAAUAAAAAGAAAGACCUUUCUUUUGAAAAAACAAACAAAAAAAAGGAAUGCAACACGAGGACUUCCCAGGAGGUCACCCAUCCUAGUACUACUCUCGCCCAAGCACGCUUAACUUCGCAGUUCUGAUGGGAUCCGGUGCUUUAGUGCUGGUAUGAUCGCAUCCGACAUACCGUGCGUUCUCCUCCCCUUUAUGCCCGCGCCUCCGUGUACGGCCCGCCCAUAGCUCCUUCGACGGCGCCGCCUAGGAACGCGGAGAAAAUAUGACAAAGGAACGGCCAAAAAUAAAAAGAAAGACCUUUCUUUUGAAAAAACAAACGGCUCCGUGUACGGCCCGCCCAUAGCUCCUUCGACGGCGCCGCCUAGGAACGCGGAGAAAAUAUGACAAAGGAACGGCCAAAAAUAAAAAGAAAGACCUUUCUUUUGAAAAAACAAACAAAAAAAAGGAAUGCAACACGAGGACUUCCCAGGAGGUCACCCAUCCUAGUACUACUCUCGCCCAAGCACGCUUAACUUCGGAGUUCUGAUGGGAUCCGGUGCUUUAGUGCUGGUAUGAUCGCAUCCGACAUACCGUGCGUUCUCCUCCCCUUUAUGCCCGCGCCUCCGUGUACGGCCCGCCCAUAGCUCCUUCGACGGCGCCGCCUAGGAACGCGGAGAAAAUAUGACAAAGGAACGGCCAAAAAUAAAAAGAAAGACCUUUCUUUUGAAAAAACAAACAAAUAAAAGGAAUGCAACACGAGGACUUCCCAGGAGGUCACCCAUCCUAGUACUACUCUCGCCCAAGCACGCUUAACUUCGGAGUUCUGAUGGGAUCCGGUGCUUUAGUGCUGGUAUGAUCGCAUCCGACAUACCGUGUGUCGACGAAAGCUGGUCGGCAGUCUACCUUGGGGUAUACCCACGGUAGUAGUUUAUCGGUAGACGGUGCGCAAACUACGAACUCGAUGGUGACGCAAGACACGGACAAGCUUUUUAUCCAGGUUCGGCCGCCGAGUUGGCGUAAUACCUACGUCCUGCGUCUGGUUGUAUUGGAUUGUGUUUAGAGAUAAUCUACCCUAGGGGGUCCCCUUGCCCCUCCUUAUAUAGUCUGGAGGGCAGGGUUACAGAUCUAGAAACUAAUCCUAGCCGGUUACAAUUGCCAUAGAUAAUUCGAUAUCAAUUCCUAUUCUAACCGACUAGAAUCCUGCUUGAUCUCCACGUCCUGUUUCCUUGCGCGAAACUCGGGCUAUCGGAUCAAGCCUUGAACUCGUCUCGUAGUGGGCCAAGCUUCCUAGCUGAAGUCUAGCCGUAAGGGUAUAGGGGUUUAUACCCCCACAGCUAGUCCCCGAGCGCCAUGUAUUGUGACGCAACACUCCGUCUUGAGCUUCUUCGAUCAGCGUGGUCUGUCGUCUUCAAUGAGCGGGGAAAUCGCCCAAACGGUUCAUUGAUCAACGUUGUCAUCGAAGAAGCAGGUUGUUCGAAGAAUGCAUGGUGCUCUAAAAAAAAUUUCUUUCCUGGUGAAGUGUGCCCACUUUGCCUUUCUGAAAGGUAGAAGCAACAAAAAAGCAAGCAAAUUCACCGCUAGGUGAAGUGUGCCCACUUAGUCCCCGAGCCUGGUAGUAGGUGUCGUAGGCACGUGGUGCCAGGGUCAAAAGAAAAUUCCCCAAAGUAGUUUUGGGACUGAGAUGCAUCGUACCGAUGUAGUCCCCGAGCUUGCUGGAAGGCGAAGUAUGAGCCUUGUAGCAAGGUCUAAAAAAUUGAAUUUACCAGUCCCCGAGCAUGUCAUGCUCGUCUGCAAUCGAAAAGACCAAUCGACCAGUCCCCAGGCACUUAGUGUGCUGCCUGGAAUUACAUGUUACUAUACUGUACGACCAGUCCCCGAGCAUCGAGUGCUCAGUGGUCGGUGCAUGCUUUAAAGCUUUGAGCUGAUAGACUGAGCGACCAGUCCCCGAGCGUCGAGUGCUCGGUGGUCGGUGAAGUCUUUGAAGUUCCGAGCUGAUAAACUGGGCGACCAGUCCCCGAGCGUCGAGUGCUCGGUGGUCGGUGCAGUCUUUGAAGUUCCGAGCUAAUAAACUGGGCGACCAGUCCCCGAGCGUCGAGUGCUCGGUGGUCGGUGCAGUCUUUGAAGUUCCGAGCUAAUAAACUGGGCGACCAGUCCCCGAGCGUCGAGUGCUCGGUGGUCGGUGCAGUCCCCGGAUUGCUGACUCACUGGCGUAUGUGUCUUCUUACUUUUGAAAAGGUCUUUCAAAUUUAAAGUUGACGUGACGGGGUCUCCUGACGAUAUGUCAGACGGAUGCAUGAAAAGCUGUGCCUGGCAACUGUACAACCGCUCUUUGCNNNNNNNNNNNNNNNNNNNNNNNNNNNNNNNNNNNNNNNNNNNNNNNNNNNNNNNNNNNNNNNNNNNNNNNNNNNNNNNNNNNNNNNNNNNNNNNNNNNNCGUUCUCCUCCCCUUUAUGCCCGCGCCUCCGUGUCCGUAAAGGGCAUAGCUCCUUCGACGGCGCCGCCGUAGGAACGCUGAGAAGAUAUGACAAAGGAACGGCCAAAAAUAAAAAGAAAGACCUUUCUUUUGAAAAAACAAACAAAAAAAAGGAAUGCAACACGAGGACUUCCCAGGAGGUCACCCAUCCUAGUACUACUCUCGCCCAAGCACGCUUAACUUCGGAGUUCUGAUGGGAUCCGGUGCUUUAGUGCUGGUAUGAUCGCAUCCGACAUACCGUGCGUUCUCCUCCCCUUUAUGCCCGCGCCUCCGUGUACGGCCGGCCCAUAGCUCCUUCGACGGCGCCGCCUAGGAACGCGGAGAAAAUAUGACAAAGGAAUUUUUUUAAAUAAAAAGAAAGACCUUUCUUUUGAAAAAACAAACGAAAAAAAGGAAUGCAACACGAGGACUUCCCAGGAGGUCACCCAUCCUAGUACUACUCUCGCCCAAGCACGCUUAACUUCGGAGUUCUGAUGGGAUCCGGUGCUUUAGUGCUGGUAUGAUCGCAUCCGACAUACCGUGCGUUCUCCUCCCCUUUAUGCCCGCGCCUCCGUGUACGGCCCGCCCAUAGCUCCUUCGACGGCGCCGCCUAAGAACGCGGAAAAAAUAUGACAAAGGAACGGCCAAAAAUAAAAAAAAAAAACCUUUCUUUUGAAAAAANNNNNNNNNNNNNNNNNNNNNNNNNNNNNNNNNNNNNNNNNNNNNNNNNNNNNNNNNNNNNNNNNNNNNNNNNNNNNNNNNNNNNNNNNNNNNNNNNNNNAAAAGGAAUGCAACACGAGGACUUCCCAGGAGGUCACCCAUCCUAGUACUACUCUCGCCCAAGCACGCUUAACUUCGGAGUUCUGAUGGGAUCCGGUGCUUUAGUGCUGGUAUGAUCGCAUCCGACAUACCGUGCGUUCUCCUCCCCUUUAUGCCCGCGCCUCCGUGUUACGGCCCGCCCAUAGCUCCUUCGACGGCGCCGCCUAGGAACGCGGAGAAAAUAUGACAAAGGAACGGCCAAAAAUCAAAAGAAAGACCUUUCUUUUGAAAAAACACACGCCUCCGUGUACGGCCCGCCCAUAGCUCCUUCGACGGCGCCGCCUAGGAACGCGGAGAAAAUAUGACAAAGGAACGGCCAAAAAUAAAAAGAAAGACCUUUCUUUUGAAAAAACAAACAAAUAAAAGGAAUGCAACACGAGGACUUCCCAGGAGGUCACCCAUCCUAGUACUACUCUCGCCCAAGCACGCUUAACUUCGGAGUUCUGAUGGGAUCCGGUGCUUUAGUGCUGGUAUGAUCGCAUCCGACAUACCGUGCGUUCUCCUCCCCUUUAUGCCCGCGCCUCCGUGUACGGCCCGCCCAUAGCUCCUUCGACGGCGCCGCCUAGGAACGCGGAGAAAAUAUGACAAAGGAACGGCCAAAAAUAAAAAGAAAGACCUUUCUUUUGAAAAAACAAACAAAUAAAAGGAAUGCAACACGAGGACUUCCCAGGAGGUCACCCAUCCUAGUACUACUCUCGCCCAAGCACGCUUAACUUCGGAGUUCUGAUGGGAUCCGGUGCUUUAGUGCUGGUAUGAUCGCAUCCGACAUACCGUGCGUUCUCCUCCCCUUUAUGCCCGCGCCUCCGUGUACGGCCCGCCCAUAGCUCCUUCGACGGCGCCGCCUAGGAACGCGGAGAAAAUAUGACAAAGGAACGGCCAAAAAUAAAAAGAAAGACCUUUCUUUUGAAAAAACAAACGCCUCCGUGUACGGCCCGCCCAUAGCUCCUUCGACGGCGCCGCCUAGGAACGCGGAGAAAAUAUGACAAAGGAACGGCCAAAAAUAAAAAGAAAGACCUUUCUUUUGAAAAAACAAACAAAAAAAAGGAAUGCAACACGAGGACUUCCCAGGAGGUCACCCAUCCUAGUACUACUCUCGCCCAAGCACGCUUAACUUCGGAGUUCUGAUGGGAUCCGGUGCUUUAGUGCUGGUAUGAUCGCAUCCGACAUACCGUGCGUUCUCCUCCCCUUUAUGCCCGCGCCUCCGUGUACGGCCCGCCCAUAGCUCCUUCGACGGCGCCGCCUAGGAACGCGGAGAAAAUAUGACAAAGGAACGGCCAAAAAUAAAAAGAAAGACCUUUCUUUUGAAAAAACAAACAAAUAAAAGGAAUGCAACACGAGGACUUCCCAGGAGGUCACCCAUCCUAGUACUACUCUCGCCCAAGCACGCUUAACUUCGGAGUUCUGAUGGGAUCCGGUGCUUUAGUGCUGGUAUGAUCGCAUCCGACAUACCGUGCGUUCUCCUCCCCUUUAUGCCCGCGCCUCCGUGUACGGCCCGCCCAUAGCUCCUUCGACGGCGCCGCCUAGGAACGCGGAGAAAAUAUGACAAAGGAACGGCCAAAAAUAAAAAGAAAGACCUUUCUUUUGAAAAAACAAACGCCUCCGUGUACGGCCCGCCCAUAGCUCCUUCGACGGCGCCGCCUAGGAACGCGGAGAAAAUAUGACAAAGGAACGGCCAAAAAUAAAAAGAAAGACCUUUCUUUUGAAAAAACAAACAAAAAAAAGGAAUGCAACACGAGGACUUCCCAGGAGGUCACCCAUCCUAGUACUACUCUCGCCCAAGCACGCUUAACUUCGGAGUUCUGAUGGGAUCCGGUGCUUUAGUGCUGGUAUGAUCGCAUCCGACAUACCGUGCGUUCUCCUCCCCUUUAUGCCCGCGCCUCCGUGUACGGCCCGCCCAUAGCUCCUUCGACGGCGCCGCCUAGGAACGCGGAGAAAAUAUGACAAAGGAACGGCCAAAAAUAAAAAGAAAGACCUUUCUUUUGAAAAAACAAACAAAUAAAAGGAAUGCAACACGAGGACUUCCCAGGAGGUCACCCAUCCUAGUACUACUCUCGCCCAAGCACGCUUAACUUCGGAGUUCUGAUGGGAUCCGGUGCUUUAGUGCUGGUAUGAUCGCAUCCGACAUACCGUGCGUUCUCCUCCCCUUUAUGCCCGCGCCUCCGUGUACGGCCCGCCCAUAGCUCCUUCGACGGCGCCGCCUAGGAACGCGGAGAAAAUAUGACAAAGGAACGGCCAAAAAUAAAAAGAAAGACCUUUCUUUUGAAAAAACAAACAAAAAAAAGGAAUGCAACACGAGGACUUCCCAGGAGGUCACCCAUCCUAGUACUACUCUCGCCCAAGCACGCUUAACUUCGGAGUUCUGAUGGGAUCCGGUGCUUUAGUGCUGGUAUGAUCGCAUCCGACAUACCGUGCGUUCUCCUCCCCUUUAUGCCCGCGCCUCCGGGUACGGUCCUCCCAUAGCUCCGUCAACGGCCCGCCUAGGAACGCGGAGAAAAUAUGACAAAGGAACGGCCAAAAAUAAAAAGAAAGCCCUUUCUUUUGAAAAGACAACCGAAUAAAAGGAAUGCCACGCGAGGACUUCCCAGGAGGUCACCCAUCAUAGUACUACUCUCGCCCAAGCACGCUUAACUUCGGAGUUCUGAUGGGAUCCGGUGCUUUAGUGCUGGUAUGAUCGCAUCCGACAUACCGCGCGUUCUCCUCCCCUUAAGGCCCGCGCCUCCGUGUACGGCCCGCCCAUAGCUCCUUAGACGGCACCUCCUAGGAACGCGGAGAAAAUAUGACAAAGGAACGGCCAAAAAUAAAAAGAAAGACCUUUCUUUUGAAAAAACAAACGCCUCCGUGUACGGCCCGCCCAUAGCUCCUUCGACGGCGCCGCCUAGGAACGCGGAGAAAAUAUGACAAAGGAACGGCCAAAAAUAAAAAGAAAGACCUUUCUUUUGAAAAAACAAACAAAAAAAAGGAAUGCAACACGAGGACUUCCCAGGAGGUCACCCAUCCUAGUACUACUCUCGCCCAAGCACGCUUAACUUCGGAGUUCUGAUGGGAUCCGGUGCUUUAGUGCUGGUAUGAUCGCAUCCGACAUACCGUGCGUUCUCCUCCCCUUUAUGCCCGCGCCUCCGUGUACGGCCCGCCCAUAGCUCCUUCGACGGCGCCGCCUAGGAACGCGGAGAAAAUAUGACAAAGGAACGGCCAAAAAUAAAAAGAAAGACCUUUCUUUUGAAAAAACAAACGCCUCCGCGUACGGCCCGCCCAUAGCUCCUUCGACGGCGCCGCCUAGGAACGCGGAGAAAAUAUGACAAAGGAACGGCCAAAAAUAAAAAGAAAGACCUUUCUUUUGAAAAAACAAACAAAAAAAAGGAAUGCAACACGAGGACUUCCCAGGAGGUCACCCAUCCUAGUACUACUCUCGCCCAAGCACGCUUAACUUCGGAGUUCUGAUGGGAUCCGGUGCUUUAGUGCUGGUAUGAUCGCAUCCGACAUACCGUGCGUUCUCCUCCCCUUUAUGCCCGCGCCUCCGUGUACGGCCCGCCCAUAGCUCCUUCGACGGCGCCGCCUAGGAACGCGGAGAAAAUAUGACAAAGGAACGGCCAAAAAUAAAAAGAAAGACCUUUCUUUUGAAAAAACAAACAAAUAAAAGGAAUGCAACACGAGGACUUCCCAGGAGGUCACCCAUCCUAGUACUACUCUCGCCCAAGCACGCUUAACUUCGGAGUUCUGAUGGGAUCCGGUGCUUUAGUGCUGGUAUGAUCGCAUCCGACAUACCGUGCGUUCUCCUCCCCUUUAUGCCCGCGCCUCCGUGUACGGCCCGCCCAUAGCUCCUUCGACGGCGCCGCCUAGGAACGCGGAGAAAAUAUGACAAAGGAACGGCCAAAAAUAAAAAGAAAGACCUUUCUUUUGAAAAAACAAACAAAUAAAAGGAAUGCAACACGAGGACUUCCCAGGAGGUCACCCAUCCUAGUACUACUCUCGCCCAAGCACGCUUAACUUCGGAGUUCUGAUGGGAUCCGGUGCUUUAGUGCUGGUAUGAUCGCAUCCGACAUACCGUGCGUUCUCCUCCCCUUUAUGCCCGCGCCUCCGUGUACGGCCCGCCCAUAGCUCCUUCGACGGCGCCGCCUAGGAACGCGGAGAAAAUAUGACAAAGGAACGGCCAAAAAUAAAAAGAAAGACCUUUCUUUUGAAAAAACAAACGCCUCCGUGUACGGCCCGCCCAUAGCUCCUUCGACGGCGCCGCCUAGGAACGCGGAGAAAAUAUGACAAAGGAACGGCCAAAAAUAAAAAGAAAGACCUUUCUUUUGAAAAAACAAACAAAAAAAAGGAAUGCAACACGAGGACUUCCCAGGAGGUCACCCAUCCUAGUACUACUCUCGCCCAAGCACGCUUAACUUCGGAGUUCUGAUGGGAUCCGGUGCUUUAGUGCUGGUAUGAUCGCAUCCGACAUACCGUGCGUUCUCCUCCCCUUUAUGCCCGCGCCUCCGUGUACGGCCCGCCCAUAGCUCCUUCGACGGCGCCGCCUAGGAACGCGGAGAAAAUAUGACAAAGGAACGGCCAAAAAUAAAAAGAAAGACCUUUCUUUUGAAAAAACAAACAAAUAAAAGGAAUGCAACACGAGGACUUCCCAGGAGGUCACCCAUCCUAGUACUACUCUCGCCCAAGCACGCUUAACUUCGGAGUUCUGAUGGGAUCCGGUGCUUUAGUGCUGGUAUGAUCGCAUCCGACAUACCGUGCGUUCUCCUCCCCUUUAUACCCGCGCCUCCGUGUACGGCCCGCCCAUAGCUCCUUCGACGGCGCCGCCUAGGAACGCGGAGAAAAUAUGACAAAGGAACGGCCAAAAAUAAAAAGAAAGACCUUUCUUUUGAAAAAACAAACAAAUAAAAGGAAUGCAACACGAGGACUUCCCAGGAGGUCACCCAUCCUAGUACUACUCUCGCCCAAGCACGCUUAACUUCGGAGUUCUGAUGGGAUCCGGUGCUUUAGUGCUGGUAUGAUCGCAUCCGACAUACCGUGCGUUCUCCUCCCCUUUAUGCCCGCGCCUCCGUGUACGGCCCGCCCAUAGCUCCUUCGACGGCGCCGCCUAGGAACGCGGAGAAAAUAUGACAAAGGAACGGCCAAAAAUAAAAAGAAAGACCUUUCUUUUGAAAAAACAAACGCCUCCGUGUACGGCCCGCCCAUAGCUCCUUCGACGGCGCCGCCUAGGAACGCGGAGAAAAUAUGACAAAGGAACGGCCAAAAAUAAAAAGAAAGACCUUUCUUUUGAAAAAACAAACAAAAAAAAGGAAUGCAACACGAGGACUUCCCAGGAGGUCACCCAUCCUAGUACUACUCUCGCCCAAGCACGCUUAACUUCGGAGUUCUGAUGGGAUCCGGUGCUUUAGUGCUGGUAUGAUCGCAUCCGACAUACCGUGCGUUCUCCUCCCCUUUAUACCCGCGCCUCCGUGUACGGCCCGCCCAUAGCUCCUUCGACGGCGCCGCCUAGGAACGCGGAGAAAAUAUGACAAAGGAACGGCCAAAAAUAAAAAGAAAGACCUUUCUUUUGAAAAAACAAGCAAAAAAAAGGAAUGCAACACGAGGACUUCCCAGGAGGUCACCCAUCCUAGUACUACUCUCGCCCAAGCACGCUUAACUUCGGAGUUCUGAUGGGAUCCGGUGCUUUAGUGCUGGUAUGAUCGCAUCCGACAUACCGUGCGUUCUCCUCCCCUUUAUGCCCGCGCCUCCGUGUACGGCCCGCCCAUAGCUCCUUCGACAGCGCCGCCUAGGAACGCGGAGAAAAUAUGACAAAGGAACGGCAAAAAAUAAAAAGAAAGACCUUUCUUUUGAAAAAACAAACAAAAAAAAGGAAUGCAACACGCGGACUUCCCAGGAGGUCACCCAUCCUAGUACUACUCUCGCCUAAGCACGCUUAACUUCGGAGUNNNNNNNNNNNNNNNNNNNNNNNNNNNNNNNNNNNNNNNNNNNNNNNNNNNNNNNNNNNNNNNNNNNNNNNNNNNNNNNNNNNNNNNNNNNNNNNNNNNNNNNNNNNNNNNNNNNNNNNNNNNNNNNNNNNNNNNNNNNNNNNNNNNNNNNNNNNNNNNNNNNNNNNNNNNNNNNNNNNNNNNNNNNNNNNNNNNNNNNNNNNNNNNNNNNNNNNNNNNNNNNNNNNNNNNNNNNNNNNNNNNNNNNNNNNNNNNNNNNNNNNNNNNNNNNNNNNNNNNNNNNNNNNNNNNNNNNNNNNNNNNNNNNNNNNNNNNNNNNNNNNNNNNNNNNNNNNNNNNNNNNNNNNNNNNNNNNNNNNNNNNNNNNNNNNNNNNNNNNNNNNNNNNNNNNNNNNNNNNNNNNNNNNNNNNNNNNNNNNNNNNNNNNNNNNNNNNNNNNNNNNNNNNNNNNNNNNNNNNNNNNNNNNNNNNNNNNNNNNNNNNNNNNNNNNNNNNNNNNNNNNNNNNNNNNNNNNNNNNNNNNNNNNNNNNNNNNNNNNNNNNNNNNNNNNNNNNNNNNNNNNNNNNNNNNNNNNNNNNNNNNNNNNNNNNNNNNNNNNNNNNNNNNNNNNNNNNNNNNNNNNNNNNNNNNNNNNNNNNNNNNNNNNNNNNNNNNNNNNNNNNNNNNNNNNNNNNNNNNNNNNNNNNNNNNNNNNNNNNNNNNNNNNNNNNNNNNNNNNNNNNNNNNNNNNNNNNNNNNNNNNNNNNNNNNNNNNNNNNNNNNNNNNNNNNNNNNNNNNNNNNNNNNNNNNNNNNNNNNNNNNNNNNNNNNNNNNNNNNNNNNNNNNNNNNNNNNNNNNNNNNNNNNNNNNNNNNNNNNNNNNNNNNNNNNNNNNNNNNNNNNNNNNNNNNNNNNNNNNNNNNNNNNNNNNNNNNNNNNNNNNNNNNNNNNNNNNNNNNNNNNNNNNNNNNNNNNNNNNNNNNNNNNNNNNNNNNNNNNNNNNNNNNNNNNNNNNNNNNNNNNNNNNNNNNNNNNNNNNNNNNNNNNNNNNNNNNNNNNNNNNNNNNNNNNNNNNNNNNNNNNNNNNNNNNNNNNNNNNNNNNNNNNNNNNNNNNNNNNNNNNNNNNNNNNNNNNNNNNNNNNNNNNNNNNNNNNNNNNNNNNNNNNNNNNNNNNNNNNNNNNNNNNNNNNNNNNNNNNNNNNNNNNNNNNNNNNNNNNNNNNNNNNNNNNNNNNNNNNNNNNNNNNNNNNNNNNNNNNNNNNNNNNNNNNNNNNNNNNNNNNNNNNNNNNNNNNNNNNNNNNNNNNNNNNNNNNNNNNNNNNNNNNNNNNNNNNNNNNNNNNNNNNNNNNNNNNNNNNNNNNNNNNNNNNNNNNNNNNNNNNNNNNNNNNNNNNNNNNCCUUCAUCCAUCUGUGCGAGGCCUAUGUUGGCAUAGAGCCGCACUUUGAUCUUUUCCGGUAUCUUUUCUGUCUGAGGAAGAAGGGAGCAGUUGGAGGCUCCAAGGUUGCAGGUGGAGUAUACCUCAACCUCCGUGAUGGGAUGAAGAAUCGCUACCUGCACUGCCCAUGGAACACCUCCUUGACCGAAUGGUACAGGAAGUGGUUCUACGUCAGGGAGGAACCGGGCAGCUCCACGUUCUGCGACGUGGGGUACGUUCCCGAGAAGAGGGCGAGCUGGACUGACCGCCCAGAGUUCGACGGUCAAGUGGCGGUUCUGAUGAAGCUGAUCGACUGGUCGCGCCUGGAUGGGCUCAGCGUGGUCGGCAACUUCAUUUGCCGCCGGGUGAUGCCCUGCCAGAAGAGGGUGCACUCGGCGUAUGAAUAUGCCGGAAGCACAGACCCGACCAGGAUGCGGUCGGAGAUCCUGGAGAAGGCGGAGGUACAACAGCUGCUGAACGAGCUGUUUAACUUCGCGGAUGGGGGCUUCACCCGUAGCAGUGAUCGGGUGCAAGCCUUCAAGUUAGGACGACCAGCACCAAAGGUAUGUAGCAGACUUCGUUUGAUCAUUCGUAUGUCGCCUGUAGUUGGCUCAUCUCUGUUACCUUUGCAGGUCGGUGAUGUCGACCGGUGCGUAGUGUACGUAUCACUGGCACCGGGGAUGGAAGAUCCUGUGGGAGAGGUCCCACCGGAGGAAGGCAGAGCCCGCCCCGUCCCGACCUCCGAGGAGAGGGUGGCGGGGAAAAGGCCAUUGCCGGUGGAUCCCCUGCCGACGCCGGAGCUGCCGGCAGACCUACCGGCGGAGAGCAGCCAAGCGCCGAAGCGUCGUCGGCUCGUGCGGAUCGUCGACGACGACGACGACGACGAGGAGGCUGCGCCGUCGUUGGUCCGACGGCCUCGGGGCCGCCCAGACGCUGCACCAGUCGCCACUGAUCGAGUGGCCAACGGCGCGGCUGCCCCGCAAGUUGCCGAGGUGGGGGCACAGGCGCCGACCGGCCGGGCGAGGAGGAGGUUCACCGCGACCCAUCGCCGGUCAGACCUGUAAGUGUUCAACUUACGUAUUUUGGACUCCCCCUUUUUUUUUUUUUUAAACUUUUGUUCCUGUAGUGCGGCAUCGGAUGUCGACCCUGGCCAAACUGCCGGCCAGGGAACGGGCGAGCCUGCCCGCGGUUCUCGGGAUGCGGCCCCCCAGACCACAGAACAGCCGACUGCUGCAGUCGCGCCUGGGAGCACCGAGGAGCUCCCGAGCGCGGCGCCGACUACAACAAGCAGCCCGACCAGGGCUGGGGAGGCUCCCCCAACUGACUCUUCGGAGAAGGGAAAGUCUCCGACCGCUCCUCCUGCCGGGGGGAGUGAAGUCCCCCCGCCGCCCCGAGCAGAAGCCUCUCCGGCUGCGGGCUCCCCAGGUCUGGUCCAAGGGACGUUGACGCCUGGGACCACCACCGGGGGUGACGCAGCCCAGGAGGAGGAAACCAGGGCGGCCUCCGACGACGAGGUAGAAGAGAUCGAGGGUCGUCCCCGUGAUGGCCGCCAACACGUGUAUGUGUGGCGCCAACGCGGGGAUCACUUUAUCGGUCAUGAGGAGCUUGCCGAGUCCGAAGAGGCCGCCAGGGUGGAGCGCGCGGCCAAGCGCCUUGUCGACGAAGUCAAGGUAAGCGUCGUUUUGAGCUGCCGCGCAUUCUUUUGCCUUGUCUUCUGCGCAUUGUUAUAUGCUUGCUUUGUAGGACGUUAUGAAAACGGCGAAGUACCGGAAACGGUGCUUUGACCAGAUAGAAGGCGUCAUGGCCGAGAACAAGGCCCUUGCCGCGGAGGUAGACCGGUUGCGGGCGGAGGUCGGAGAGAAGGUGGUCGAGAUGAGCACCGAGAAGGAGCGUCGUCUCGACCUCGCUCGUCGCCUGGCCGACCAGUACCGGCUGCAGGAAGGUUAGUCUCACGCUCCGAGCAGUUUCGCAGACUUGUAUAGUUUGCUUCGCUGACCAGUUUAGGAUUCACGCAGACUUGGAGGAGGAGGUGGCGAGCCUCCAACAAGAGAAGGAGCAGCUCGGCCAACAGCUCGCCAGUGCGCAGGAGUCCGGACGGCGAGCGGAAGAGGAAUUAAGUCGUAAAGACCGGGAGUUAGCUGGUAAUGGGUGCCGCCUUGUUGGUUGCUACCUGCCCCUUUGCUUGUUUGGUAUGCCGAAAGUAACGUUUCGUUUCGUUUGCAGUGCUCAAGGUGAACACCAAAAAGCACCUGGAUGAGCUGGUCAAGGACCGGGACUCCUGGAAGGUCAACUGUUGCAGGAUCUGGAAGGGAGUGUCCCCGGUCCUGGACCUGAUCAGUCCCGAGCUCCCGGAGAGCCAGCCCCGCGCGCCGCAGUUGACCCCGGUUCAAAAGGCGCAACGGGCGUGGGACUGGCUCCAGCAGUUUGUGAAGGACGCCGGGGAGUUUGCCGGCGCGCACGUCCUCAGCAUGGUACGCGCCCACUACCCCCUUGUCGACUUGAGCAGGCUGGAGAAGGGGUACCCGAAGGAAGUCGGCCCACAGGAAGCGGACGAACUUCGGGGUAGUCUGCUGGACUUGUCGUCGACAGUGAUCGGCGACAUCAACCUGUGCGGAACGGCCACUCCUCCAGACCAGCCGAGCUCAGAUAGGUCGGCCAGGGAGUUGUCGGGCGCGUCCUUUGCUGGAGAUGGGCGGUCGACGCCUGCGGUCUCGACCAGCCAGGCGCCGGUGGCCCCGACCCCUUCGUCCGGGCAGCAGGGCCAGGCGGGUGAUCAGCCCGAGCAGCUAGGCCAAUAAAGUAGUCUGUAGGAAUAGACUAGUAUCUGCCCGUCAGGGUAUUUAUUGUAAACUUUGUAUGUAAAGUUUGUAAUAAAGUUUUCUUUUUGUCAUGACUGUUGUUUUGAGCGCUGUAAAAAUAUCUGAGUGAUGUGUCAUCGUAUUUGUCUUGGUUGUCGCCAAGAGCAUCCAUUGCGGGAGUUUUGCCGAGUGCUGUGUAUGACAAGGUAUAGGCAAAAAAUAGAGAAUUAUAUUGUCACAAAUUAUAAGACACUUACAAAAGAAAGUCGCUAAAACUUUAUGGAUAGAAACGUCGCAGUUUGUCGAUGUGCCAAGAGUUAGGCACUCGUGUUCCGUCUGGGUAUGCCAAUCUGUAGGACGUAGGUCGUGUGACCUCGGUCACCACGAAGGGUCCUUCCCAGGGAGUAGAUAACUUGUGCAUUCCCUCCUGGCUUGUUUUCCAUCGAAGCACCAGAUCGCCGACCACGAAGGAACGGUCCUUGACGUUCCUGUUGUAGUAUCGCCUGACUGCCGUGAGAUAUUUUGCUGUUCGGAGACAUGAAACUAAACGCUUUUCCUCCAUGCAAUUGAUUUCGAGUUCUCUGGCGUUGUCGGCGGUCGACUGGUCGAAGUGCUCAAUUCUAGGGGAUCCGAAGUGUAUGUCGGACGGCAGAACCGCCUCUGCGCCGUACACCAUGAAAUAGGGAGACACCCCCGUGUUUCGACUGGUCUGAGUUCGAAGGCCCCAGACCACUGCCGGCAAUUCUUUCAUCCAUCGACCGGGUGCUCUGUCGUUCUCGGUGUACAAUCUUUUCUUUAGGGCGUCGACGAUCAUUCCAUUAGCACGUUCGACCUGACCGUUGGCACGUGGAUGUGCCACUGACACAUAUUUUAUGACUAUGCCUCUGUCAUCGCAGAAAUCCCAAAAGGUGGUGCCAGUAAACUGAGUGCCCAGGUCGGUGAUUAUGCUGUUCGGGAUGCCGAAUCUGUGUAUGAUUUGAUUGAGGAACUCCACAGCCUUCUCGGAAGUUGCCUUGACCAGGGGCAUGUAUUCAAUCCACUUGGAGAACUUGUCGAUUAACACGAAGACAAACUUGAAGUUGCCCGGGGCUGGUUUAAAUGGUCCGAUCAUGUCAAGCCCCCAGCAGGCAAAGGGCCAAGACGACGGGAUGGUUUGAAUUUCAUGGGCAGGUACGUGGGUCCUCUUAGCGAAAAACUGACAUCCUUCGCAACGCCGAACCAGUUUUUCUGCAUCGCUGACCGCGGUCGGCCAGUAAAAACCUGCUCGGAAAGCCUUUCCGACCAGCGUUCUAGAUGCGGCGUGGUUGCCGCAGGAUCCGGCGUGUAUGUCCUCCAAGAGCUUGAUACCAUCGUCUUGGGGUAUGCACUUGAGCAGUACCUCGGAGCUUGCGUUUUUCCGCAUGAGUUUUCCGUCGACCAGGAUGUAGUUCUUUGACCGUCGGAUGAGACGCUCGUUCUCUGUUUUGUCCUGAAAACCUGUCCCGUCUGAGAUGUAUUUGAUGAACGGGACACGCCAGUCGCGCCCGCCGGUUGUCGGAGUGGCGUCAUCUAUGAGCAUUGCCUCGUUGGGUUGCUUGUCGACCAGGGGGGAGCUUACGCUCGGCUCAUGGAUGUCCUGGACGAAAAUACCGCGCGGGAUUUGGGCCCGGGACGAGCCUAACUUUGACAACGCAUCUGCUGCUUGGUUCUUAUCCCGGACCACGUGGAUGUACUCUAUGCCAUAGAAGUUAGUUUCCCAUUUGCGAAUUUCUUUGCAGUAGAGAUCCAUCUUCUCGUGGGUUGCGUCCCACUCCUUGUUGAGCUGGUUGAUGACCAAAGCGGAGUCCCCGUAGACAUAGAGGCGCUUAACCCCCAGCUCAACGGCUAGUCGUACGCCAUGUAAGCAAGCUUCAUAUUCGGCGACAUUGUUUGACGCCGGGAAAAGGAUCCGAAGGACGUAGCGGAGUUUGUCCUUGUUUGGUGAUACGAACAAUAUCCCAGCGCCUGCACCGUUGAUGUUCAAGGACCCAUCAAAGAACAUUGACCAGUGGUCUGAGACAUCGGGAACGGACGGUUCGUUGAGAUCCGUCCAUUCGGCAAUGAAAUCGACCAGGGCUUGGGACUUGACAGUGGUGCGACUCUGAAACUCCAGGGAAAAUGGACAUAAUUCCAUUGCCCAUUUCACGAUUCUGCCAUUGGCGUCUUUAUUGCGCAGGAUGUCACCGAGGGGAAAGCUGGUUGUCACCAGGACUCGAUGGCCGUCGAAGUAGUGCUUCAGUUUUCUUGACGUUAUCAGGAUGGCGUAUAUAAGCUUCUGUAUUUGUGGGUACCUGGCCUUGGAUUCGUUUAAAACUUCGCUUAUGAAGUAAACGGGCCUCUGGACCUUGAAGACGUGACCUGGUUCAUCUCGCUCGACCACUAUUGCCGUGGAAACAACUCUGUCGGUUGCAGCAAUGUAAAGGAGCAGGUCUUCGUUGGGCUGAGGCGCUGUGAGAACAGGCGGUGAAGUGAGGAAGGUCUUAAGCUGAGUGAACGCAGCGUCGGCGUCUUCUAUCCAGGAGAAUUUUUCUGACGCUUUCAAUAGUUUGAAAAAGGGGAGGCCUUUUUCUCCCAGCCUUGAGAUGAAACGACUGAGAGCGGCCAUGCAUCCGGUUAGCUUCUGAAUAUCCUUGACGUUCUUCGGUGGUCGCAUGUCGAGUACGGCUUUGACUUUUGAAGGGUUUGGCCGUAUGCCGUCGCAACUGACGACGUUGCCGAGCAGUAGACCGGAAGGAACGCCGAAAAUGCAUUUCUUGGGGUUGAGCUUCCACUUGUACCUAUUGAGUGCCUUGAAGGUUCGGUCUAAGUUGUCGAUUAGGGUGCUCGCAUCCCUUGUUUUUACGACCACGUCGUCCACAUAGGCCUCGACGAGGUCGUCGCGAAUCUCGUCGUGGAGGCAUUGCUGGAUGGCCCUUUGAUAAGUGGCCCCGGCGUUUUUAAGUCCGAAAGACAUGGUAGUGUAACAGUAUGCGCCGAAAGGUGUGAUGAAGGAUGUUUUGAUCUGAUCUUCUUCUUUUAACGAGAUCUGGUGAUAACCAGAGUAGCAAUCUAGAAAGGAGAGGAGUUCGCAUCCGGCCGUUGAGUCGACCACCUCGUCGAUGCGAGGAAGACCAAAAGGAUCUUUAGGACAGUGUUUGUUGAGAUCGGUGUAAUCAACGCACAUUCUCCAUUCAUUAUUCUUUUUGCGUACAAGAACCGGAUUGGCGAGCCAAUCGGGAUGAUACACCUCUUUUAUGAAUCCGGCUGCUAGAAGCCGUGUUAUUUCUGUCCUAAUAGCCUCCUUUUUGUCACGAGCGAACCGUCGCAGUUUUUGCUUGAUUGGUCUUGCGGUCUUCGAGACGUUUAAGGAGUGCUCGAUCAGGUUCCGUGGGACGCCGGGCAUGUCUGCGGGUUUCCAUGCGAAAACGCUCACGUUGUCCCUUAGAAACCUGACGAGCGCGUCUUCCUAUUUUGGAUCCAGGUUAGCCCCGAUGAGGGCUGUCUUCUCGGGGUUGCCCUCGACCAGCUGCACUUCUUUGUACUCCUUGGAUUUCGAAUUCUUUCUGGCUGUCUCCUGCUCAGGUAAUCGGAGCUGGUCGGGGGGCAGCUGUGCGGCUUGGUUUGCUGUUUCCGCCAUGCGGAUUGAGAGGUCAAUUGCCUCGGUGAUCUUGAAACUUUCUUCUUCGCAGGUGUACGCAGUGUAGACGUUGCCUCUGACGGUCAGGACACCCUUCUCCGUGGGCAUCUUAAGCACUAGGUACGAGUAGUGCGGGACUGCCAUGAACUUUGUCAGCGAUGGGCGGCCCAGUAUGGCGUGGUAGGUCCCGUCGAAGUCCGCGACUACGAAGUUGAUGAACUCCGUCCGGAAGUGAUCGGGUGUGCCGAAUUGGACAGGCAAUGUUAUCUGUCCGAGGGGCACCGAACUUUGACCUGGCAAAACCCCCCAGAAUUGGGCGUCGUAAGGUUUUAGUUGGGCCGGUGAUAUCUUGAGGGCGGGCAGGCUGUUGCGGAAGAGGAUGUCAAUGGAGCUUCCCCCGUCCACGAGCACGCGCUCGAAUCUGAUGCUGUUGAUGCAAGGAUCGAGAAUUAGUGGGAAACGACCCGGCUCCGGGAUAGCGGCCCACUGGUCCUUCCUGCUGAACGCGAUCUCCCUAUGGGACCAGGCGGGAAAUUUCAGAUCUGCGAUCAGCCCGUCCGUGCUGUCUAUGUUGAGGCAGGCUCUCUUCAACAGCUUUCUUUCUCGCUUGGACUCAGUGGAGACCUUGCCCCCGAAAAUGGAGUGGACCACGUCGGUGGGGCUGACGUAUUGGUGUCGGGGGUCCCUGUCUUGGUCCUCGUCCUCAUCUUCGUGGUCGUGCCCGUCGCGUUUGUUACUUUUCUUGGCGGUGUCUUCUUGGGCGGCCCGCCGUGUAUAGAUAUUUUUGAGGACGCGGCACUCUUCCAUGGUAUGGUUAGACUUUGGAUGUAGCUGGCACGGUCCCUUCAACGUUUUGUUGUAGUCGUCUUGGUAGUCCCGUCGUCCAUUGGGACGUUUGACCGUGUUUACUUCGUGGUCGUAUUCGCGAGGGCGCUUUCCUCUGAAGUCGUCGCGGCUGUCGCGCCGCCGAUCCCAACCCUCUCGGUGAUCGCGGUUGUCGGAGCGACGGUGAUUUCUGUUGUCGUAGCGGCCGCGACCGUCGUCUCGCCGGGAGGGCUGGUCGGUGCCUCUCGCAUCGUCUCGGAUUAGUUUUUCUGCGUCAUCAGCAUCGGCAUAAUUUUUAGCCGUGGCGAGGAGCUCUGCUACUGUUGAUGGACGUUUACGCAACAGCUUGUUCCUCAGCGCUUCAUGGAAACGUAAGCCCUUGAUAAAGGCUGAUAUGGCCUCGUCAUGAGAAAUCUUCGGGAUUUUGAGACGCAUAUCCGAGAAUCGUCGGAUGUAAUCACGCAGAGGUUCAUUCUUCCUGUCUCUUAUCCUUUCAAGGUCAUACUUGUUUCCGGGCUGUUCGCAUGUGGCGAUGAAGUUGUCAAUGAAAGCCUGUCGUAGUUCUUCCCAAGAGUCGAAGGAGUCCUCGGGCAAGCCGAGAAGCCACUGAUGACCAGCCUGGUCGAGGACUACGGGGAAGUAGUUAGCCAUGACGUGCUCAUCUCCUGCCGCUGAUCGGACGGCGAUUUCGUAGAGGGUGAUCCAGUUCUCUGGAUUUUCCUUGCCGUCGUAUUUUUUAAGUUUUUCGAGCUUGAAAUUUCUGGGCCACACGACCUGGCGGAGGUGUGAGGAGAACUGCCUUAGGCCCGGGGGACCAUGGGUCGCAUCGUACUCGAUGCGGCGUAGGUUUUCGUGGACUGCUCUCUCUGCGGCGCGCCUGUUGAUGCGGUCCCGGGCAUCUUUGGGAGGGAUGUUGUGGCGGAGAUCCCUGUGUUGAUCUUCUUCUUCCUGGCCGCGUACGCGGUUCUGCUGGCGGCGGCCAUCGGCGUCUCGACCACCAUCGUCGCGCCGUGAGUCCCCUCGACGGUUGUCGGGGGAGCGCCUGCGGCGACGCCUGCUGGGCGAGGCCCGGCUACGAUGAGUCUGGUCGGAGGCGGCUUCCGUAUAAGGGACGUCCUGGACUCUCUUAAGCAGAGUUGCUGUCUGUCCCAUCGCGGCGAUCAGGUGUGCUCGGAUACUGGUCCGGACCCCCUGGCAUUCUGGUGUGUCAGGAAGCCGAUCCAGGUUGGCCAUGGCAACAGCCACGUUGGCGCUUGGCGUUUUGUAGACCGGCUGGUCCCCGACCAUGUCAAAGGCAUCGUUGAGGUUACCCGGUGGCGUCUGUUGUUGCUCGUCCGCACGCCGUCGGGCGCGAUCGGCGUUACGCUGUUCGCGGAGUUGCCUCUGGUCGUCUGUUUCUCCGUCAACAACCGGUUCGUCGGCGCUGACAUUGAAUACAAUAUCCCCUCGCCGGGGGGGGGGAAUAUCGGGAACCGGUCGAAACCCGGAGGGUGUGAAGGGAAAUCCAGGUCGUAGCCCUCGUCUUCGGUGUUUAUAACCUCGGUGGGGACGGAGCCGGUGCUUGAGUUGGUGCUGGAAACCUGGCCGUUCCGUAGCUCUCGGAUUGUCACCAUGUUGACAUGGUGACGAUUGUUCCUUGUCGGCGACCAGCCCGCUUUGCUGAAAACGGAUUGAACAUGCUGUGAGUAGACAGAGGCCGAGUUAUUCAGGCCGCAAGGAUGGUCUCCCUUUUUGAGCUCGACGGAUCGGCCUGAGGAGGUUGAGGUUAUCGCCAGGGACGUUCCCAGCCGUUCGUGUGUGGUGACACGAGUUGGCCGGCGGGAUUUCGAAAAAUCCGCUUGAGUGGCUUGGUCGGGCCGGCGCAGAAUUCCAUCUAUUAGUUGGGAGACUUCGAGCAGCUUGGAGUCGGCGCGAUCGAGCGCUUGGAGGAGGUCCGAGCAGUCGAUCUCCUUUCCCUUGUAGAGUGGGAACGGUGGCCGGGAGUUUGGUGCCGUCAUGCGUGUGGUCGGAGACGGCGUGAUCUCAGAUUGGAUCUGGAUCUCUUUCGGGACCGUGGUCGGGAAGCCGCCGCUGCACGUCGUCCACGUGAUCUGGCCGACGGUAAACGUGAGGCCUUCGGGCACGGUCGCGGAAGCUGGGAUCGUGACCAUCUUGUUCGCCGGAAAAGUUGCACGCACACCCCCUACCUGGCGCGCCACUGUCGACGAAAGCUGGUCGGCAGUCUACCUUGGGGUAUACCCACGGUAGUAGUUUAUCGGUAGACGGUGCGCAAACUACGAACUCGAUGGUGACGCAAGACACGGACAAGCUUUUUAUCCAGGUUCGGCCGCCGAGUUGGCGUAAUACCUACGUCCUGCGUCUGGUUGUAUUGGAUUGUGUUUAGAGAUAAUCUACCCUAGGGGGUCCCCUUGCCCCUCCUUAUAUAGUCUGGAGGGCAGGGUUACAGAUCUAGAAACUAAUCCUAGCCGGUUACAAUUGCCAUAGAUAAUUCGAUAUCAAUUCCUAUUCUAACCGACUAGAAUCCUGCUUGAUCUCCACGUCCUGUUUCCUUGCGCGAAACUCGGGCUAUCGGAUCAAGCCUUGAACUCGUCUCGUAGUGGGCCAAGCUUCCUAGCUGAAGUCUAGCCGUAAGGGUAUAGGGGUUUAUACCCCCACACCGUGCGUUCUCCUCCCCUUUAUGCCCGCGCCUCCGUGUACGGCCCGCCCAUAGCUCCUUCGACGGCGCCGCCUAGGAACGCGGAGAAAAUAUGACAAAGGAACGGCCAAAAAUAAAAAGAAAGACCUUUCUUUUGAAAAAACAAACAAAUAAAAGGAAUGCAACACGAGGACUUCCCAGGAGGUCACCCAUCCUAGUACUACUCUCGCCCAAGCACGCUUAACUUCGGAGUUCUGAUGGGAUCCGGUGCUUUAGUGCUGGUAUGAUCGCAUCCGACAUACCGUGCGUUCUCCUCCCCUUUAUGCCCGCGCCUCCGUGUACGGCCCGCCCAUAGCUCCUUCGACGGCGCCGCCUAGGAACGCGGAGAAAAUAUGACAAAGGAACGGCCAAAAAUAAAAAGAAAGACCUUUCUUUUGAAAAAACAAACAAAAAAAAGGAAUGCAACACGAGGACUUCCCAGGAGGUCACCCAUCCUAGUACUACUCUCGCCCAAGCACGCUUAACUUCGGAGUUCUGAUGGGAUCCGGUGCUUUAGUGCUGGUAUGAUCGCAUCCGACAUACCGUGCGUUCUCCUCCCCUUUAUGCCCGCGCCUCCGUGUACGGCCCGCCCAUAGCUCUUUCGACGGCGCCGCCUAGGAACGCGGAGAAAAUAUGACAAAGGAACGGCCAAAAAUAAAAGAAAGACCUUUCUUUUGAAAAAACAAACGCCUCCGUGUACGGCCCGCCCAUAGCUCCUCCGACGGCCCCGCCUAGGAACGCGAAGAAAAUAUGACAAAGGAACGCCCAAAAAUAAAAAGAAAGACCUUUCUUUUGAAAAAACAAACAUUAAAAAGGAAUGCAACACGAGGACUUCCCAGGAGGUCACCAAUCCUAGUACUACUCUCGCCCAAGCACGCUUAACUUCGAAGUUCUGAUGGGAUCCGGUGCUUUAGUGCUGGUAUGAUCGCAUCCGACAUACCGUGCGUUCUCCUCCCCUUUAUGCCCGCGCCUCCGUGUACGGCCCGCCCAUAGCUCCUUCGACGGCGCCGCCUAGGAACGCGGAGAAAAUAUGACAAAGGAACGGCCAAAAAUAAAAAGAAAGACCUUUCUUUUGAAAAAACAAACAAAAAAAAGGAAUGCAACACGAGGACUUCCCAGGAGGUCACCCAUCCUAGUACUACUCUCGCCCAAGCACGCUUAACUUCGGAGUUCUGAUGGGAUCCGGUGCUUUAGUGCUGGUAUGAUCGCAUCCGACAUACCGUGCGUUCUCCUCCCCUUUAUGCCCGCGCCUCCGUGUACGGCCCGCCCAUAGCUCCUUCGACGGCGCCGCCUAGGAACGCGGAGAAAAUAUGACAAAGGAACGGCCAAAAAUAAAAAGAAAGACCUUUCUUUUGAAAAAACAAACAAAAAAAAGGAAUGCAACACGAGGACUUCCCAGGAGGUCACCCAUCCUAGUACUACUCUCGCCCAAGCACGCUUAACUUCGGAGUUCUGAUGGGAUCCGGUGCUUUAGUGCUGGUAUGAUCGCAUCCGACAUACCGUGCGUUCUCCUCCCCUUUAUGCCCGCGCCUCCGUGUACGGCCCGCCCAUAGCUCCUUCGACGGCGCCGCCUAGGAACGCGGAGAAAAUAUGACAAAGGAACGGCCAAAAAUAAAAAGAAAGACCUUUCUUUUGAAAAAAAAAACAAAAAAAAGGAAUGCAACACGAGGACUUCCCAGGAGGUCACCCAUCCUAGUACUACUCUCGCCCAAGCACGCUUAACUUCGGAGUUCUGAUGGGAUCCGGUGCUUUAUUGCUGGUAUGAUCGCAUCCGACAUACCGUGCGUUCUCCUCCCCUUUAUGCCCGCACCUCCGUGUACGGCCCGCCCAUAGCUCCUUCGACGGCGCCGCCUAGGAACGCGGAGAAAAUAUGACAAAGGAACGGCCAAAAAUAAAAAGAAAGACCUUUCUUUUGAAAAAACAAACAAAAAA
rnacentral:lncRNA from 1 species